GUGCCAGCCGCCGCGGUAAUACGUAGGGUGCGAGCGUUAAUCGGAAUUACUGGGCGUAAAGCGUGCGCAGGCGGUUUUGUAAGACAGAUGUGAAAUCCCCGGGCUUAACCUGGGAACUGCGUUUGUGACUGCAAGGCUAGAGUACGGCAGAGGGGGGUGGAAUUCCACGUGUAGCAGUGAAAUGCGUAGAUAUGUGGAGGAAUACCAGUGGCGAAGGCGGCCCCCUGGACCAAUACUGACACUGAGGUGCGAAAGCGUGGGUAGCAAACAGGAUUAGAUACCCUGGUAGUCCACGCCGUAA
rnacentral:rRNA from 1 species